rnacentral:lncRNA from 1 species
CAGACUAAGAAAAGAUCUCUCCACAAGACCUUGAGAGCAAGGGGAGCUGGGUUAUAGGUGGACCAAAGGCACCACAUGUUCAAAGUUCAGGUAAGAAGAGUUUCUCAGAGACAUGUGGAAUAUAAGACUGCUGAAGUGUUCAUAGGAAAGUUUUAGAGAUGAGGACUUAUUUUCUUGCUAGAGGACUCCUUGUCCCUCGCAUGCAGGCAGCUUAACCCACCCUAAGUGCCGAUACCGCCCUUUUGGAUAAAAACGCUUCUCUUUAUUUGCCUUCACCUUGCCCCAGCGUUAUAACAUAAUACACCUCAUGUAGUUUCCAAAGGGCUUACCAGCUGCAAUGAAGGGACAAAACAUUCAACUGCCUUGAGUUUCAGAAGUUGGUAUUAUUAGUAACUGGGAAAAUAAGGCAGCCACCUCUUACUGCAGCAGAAUCUAGGCUGAACACUGCAGAAAGUGCAGUGGUACCUUGGCUCUCAAACUUAAUCCGUUCUGGAAGUUCGUUCCAAAACCAAGUUGCACUUUCCAAUAGAAAGUAAUGCAAAAUGGAUUAAUCCGUUCCAGACUUUUAAAAACAACCCCUAAAACAGAAAUUUAACAUGAAUUUUACUAGUUAUAGGUAGGUAGCCGUGUUGGCCUGCUAUAGUUUAAACAAAAUUUAAAAAUUCCUUCCAGUAGCACCUUAGAGACCAACUAAGUAUGUUAUUGGUAUGAGCUUUCGUGUGCAUGCACACUUCUUCAGAAUUUUACUAACGAAACCAUUUAUCCAUAAAAUGAAAGCAAUAAAUGUACUGCAGUCACACAAUCAAUCAAUCAAUCAGUAGCUGAAUUGGGUUCCACACAGUCACACAAAAAAAGAACCACAAAAACGCAAAAUAGCAAAAACAGACAGACCUCAGCAUAACACUCAAAAUGGAAGUGUGGCACUCAAAUCAGAAGUGUAACACUCAAAACGAAGCAUGUUCGGCUUCCGAAAAAAGUUAGUAAACCAGAACACUUACUUCCGGGUUUGCAAUGUUUGGGUUCCAAGUUGUUUGAGUACCUAGGUGUUUGAGAAACAAGGUACCACUGUACCAGCAGAAGCCCAGAUGAUAGUACUCCCUUCAGCAUUUUGCCUUCCUACUAGGGAUGAGGUUAUUCCUUCCCUCAUCUGCCAGCAGCUAAGAAGCAGGGCUCGGCUGAAAGACCAGCUCCAUCCGUGUUGAGAACAAGGAUUGCCCAGCCUCUCUUAGUGUAAGGAAAAAUUUAUAUUGGACUUUAAGCUGGCCUCUGCUUCAACAGCUUCUGCGCUGGGGGUUGCCUACAGCAAACUCUUCAUUCAGUCAAGAGAUGAAGGAGAUAAAUGCAAGGGGCAUCAGUUGCACUGCACCACAGAGAAAGCCGGAGAAGCAAAAUACCCAGGAAAUGUUGAAAAAUGGUUUUGAACGUACCACAAUUCUCUUCAUCUGAGCCAUCCAUGCAAUCACUGACCCCAUCGCAAAGCCAAGUAGCAGAAACGCAGCUUCCAUCUUUGCACUGCCAUGCAUUUGGAUCACCACGACAUCCUUCGUCUGAACGAUAAAAGUUAUUUAGCUUGAUUUAACACUGUACUUAGCUGGAGUGGUUAGGUACUCUCCCUUUUUAAUAAUAAUAAUUUAUAUUUAUACCCCGCCCUCCCCAGCCAAGGCCGGGCUCAGAGCGGCUUACAAGCAAUAAUAAAAACAAGUUGAAUGAUUACAACUUAAAAACAAGAUUAGAAUACAACAUUAAAAUAUUGAAACAUUAAAAUAUUAAAAUGUAGCCUCAUCGCAGGAGGAGAAAGAAAAGAAAAAAGAAAGAGAGGGAGGGAAUCAAAUUGGCUCCAAGCCAAAGGCCAGGUGGAACAACUCUGUCUUACAGGCCCUGCGGAAUGAAAUCAGAUCCUGCAGGGCCCUGGUCUCAUGAGGCAGAGCGUUCCACCAGGCUGGAGCCAGAGUUGAAAAGGCCCUGGCUCUGGCUGAAGCCCAUCUAACUUCCUUAGGGCCCGGGACCACUAGGGUGUUGCUAUUUAUGGACCUUGAGGCUCUCCGUGGGGCAUACCGGGAGAGGCGGUCCCGUAGGUACGAGGGUCCUAGGCCGUGAGGACCUUUUAAAAGAAUGUUGCCUUUAGGGUAGUUGCGAAGGAGGACUUUAGUAGCCUGGGAAGUUGCUUUGAAAUUAACGUCCACCGCAGAGAUGCUACAGUUUAAAGGACUUGGCAUGCAUAAUAAAAUUAUUUCAUGAAAUUUAUACACCGCUUGAUUAAUGUUUUCAGAAAGCAGUUUACUAAAAAAAAACAUGGAUACACAAGUUAUCUUGGAAAGACAUUAGCUUAACCAUUGAAGUGACUAGGGAAAACAGUUUCAGCUGUCCCAGGAAACAACAAACUGUUAAAAGUCCAUCUCAAAAUGUUUAUCAGAAGCCUUGGUAUCCAACCUUGGCAGGCUCAGAUUUAGAUUUGAUGGGGCCCUAAGCUGCUGAAGGUAAUGGGGCCCUUUAUAUGUCCAGCUGUCCUUUGUCAACAACAAAUUGUCACUGUUUUUUGUGUUGAAUAUACGCUAUAUGGUAAUUUAUGGACCUAAUAGGUAUCUAAAGUUAUUUGUAUAUAACAAAUAGGAGCCAACACAAAACGCUGUUGCUGUAUGUAGGUUUUAUUUUAUUUGUUUUUUAUCUUAUAUUUUGGAAAUGUACAUCCAGUUUUUUCCCUUUAAUUUUUUUUGUGGGCCCCUAAGAGCGUGGGGCUAUAGCUUGUUUAGCUUAUAUGUAAAUCCAGCACUGAACCUUGGUCUCCCAAAUGGACUCUCAGCCAUUUGAAGGCUCUGAAAGGCUUACCACAAUGCUCAUCUGAUCCAUCAGGGCAGUCUUGCUCUCCAUUACAAAGCCACGUCAAAGGAAUGCACUUAUCUCCACAGACAGCUUGCUGAGAGAUACUGCAAACGUUUCCAUCUGUACAAGGCAAAUAGGAUAUAGUCACUCUCUGUCCUUUCCACCCUAACUCCCCCCACCCCAAAAAAUCUGCUAGAUUGAAGGGGGGGAACCUCCAAAAUGGGUUCAUGGGGGAGAGGGCGGCACACAGGAAGGAAACCCUACUGCACAGGAAAAAGCCCUUGAACUCAUUUUGACACCACCCAUAGUUAUUUUAUUUAACAAGACUCUUUAAAAAGCCAACUUGUUUUUUUUAAAAGCAUGAUAGUGUACAAUAAAGUCAUUCAAACGUCACAACAUGAAGGAUACAAAGCAAAAUUCUGUUUAUAAACAUGCUUUACUCAUUUCAUUUAGCCUCGCUUCCCCUGUAAGUAUCCCUUGAACUACCAUGUGGUUUCAUUUGUUUAUUAAAUUUAUAUCCCACUGGUCCUUCCAAAGAAGCCUAGAGCUGCAAACUAAGGAGAUUAAAGACUACUGUGUAAAAAAACAAAAACCCGAAAGCAAUGCCAGCUUGAGAGGAGAGAGGCACAUCAUCCUCCCAAAAAACCAGAGUCCUUUCUGUUGGGGAUAAUUCAGACUGAAAUUCCACUACCACAAGGUGACAAAAAAAGGUUAUUUAUGUAUGCUACUACUGCGCCAGUGUUUUGUUAGCAUCAAAAUGGAAAACGAGGUCCCAACCAAAGAAUGGCAACUUAAGUUGACAGAAUAUGCACAACUUGCAGAGGCAACACAGAAUAAGAGAACUAUAAGAACAUAUGUUUAAAGAAGACUGGAAAACGUUUGUUGAAUAUAUGGGAAAUCAUUGUGUACAGCUGAAAACGCUGGCAGCCUCAAGAUAAAUUCAACAAUGUAAACAAGUUUUGAUGGCUGCAAUAAUGGAAUACCGAAUGGAACAGUUUUGUGUAAAAUAUGCAGGGAUUUGUGGUGCGUAAAAUGAACCAUGGAAAGAGAAGAAGGGAAGUCAUUGGUAUUUUAAGGGUGUAAAAUGAGUUUUUUAAAUUGCAAAACAGAAAAUUUAUACCUAUAUAUAUAGCCCACGACCCCACUCCACCUGACCCACUCUCACCUUUGUUGGGGAGCAAACCCCACCCAGUCGCAGUAGCGAAGAGCAGCAGCAGCGCAGCCUGGAGCGUAGCGCGCCCCAUAACGCGCGGAAAAAGCGCGCAGGAGCAGCGCGAGAAACAAAGGCGAGCACAGAAAGAAUAAAAGAGCGGGGGAAAGCAGCAACGGAGUAGAUGCGCGGAGAAGCUUUUAAACCCCGCGCAAGAGUCCCACUGGGUGGGGUAGCGGCUGGGCGCGGCUCCGGCAUUUAGAAGUCCCGUUGCGAGGAUCAGGCCCUUACUCCUCAGCCAAGCGCGGAUGGAGUCGCGAGGCCCUAAUCCUGACGCUCCUCCAAGCCCCGGCACCACGUAGCUUGUUUGCAGCAAGACCCGAUUACUGCAUCCCUUACUAGGGAGUAAACUGCCUUCGCCGCAACAGGGCUUGCUCCCGAGUAAACGCAGAUGGAGUUGGCCUGCUUUGUGGUGGCUCCUCCUUUGUGGGAACUCUCUUCUCAGGAAGGCUGGCCUGAGACCAGUUUAGUGGAUCUUUAGGCGCCAGGCAAAUUUUCCCCCCUCUAUCCUUUGGCCUUUAACUUUCUGUGGCCAUUUUAGAACUAGGCAGGAUAUUUUUCAUGCUUUUCCUCUUAAUGUAUCUCUGUUGUCUGUUUGGCUGGUUGUAAGUCAAUUUGGGUUUGCCUUGGGCAAGAUAAAGUGACUAACUAGAAAAAGCUGUGCUAAAAGGACAAUGUUGGUCCAACUCAAUCGCUUCUCUUAUAUCUGUAAUAAGAGUAUGUUAUUACUCAAACCGAAUUUGCUUUAGUUUUAAUCUGGUUUUGCUGAAGUGAUUUGUUAAUCUAUCAAGGAAACUGUUAGUUUAUUUAGUUUUGAAUUGUAAUUAAGUACUGAAUUUAUUGGCUCCUGGGUUCUUACAGAGGUAAUUUUACUGAGGAAAUGCAUAUAAGGUUACAUUCACAGGCGGGGAGGGGAGAUGGAUUAUAAUUGCUGGUAACAGGCAGACAUUUUAAACUGCCGAAUCCUCUUCCGGGCAUAAAGCUGCAAUAUUGUGCUAAGCUUCACCAGUUGAAUUCCUGUCUGUUAUUGCUGCUGCUAAAUGCAUACAGACCUUUGUUAGAAAAACAAAUAUUUCAUGCCCAAUCAUAUUGUGAAACUGGUAAACUGCAAGGGACAUAUUCCAGCCACUUUGAAGAAGGCUUAUGCUAUGUUUUGAUUGAUAAAUAUAUUCUAAUGUUUCAGGUGCUGAAAAUAUCAUUUAUAGCCUUAUCUUCAGAAGAUGAAAGACUCCCGCUGAAAAGGCAGUUUCGAAUGCCAGGGUACCAAAGAUCCACAGCUAAUUUAGUGGUAUGUUACUUAACUUUUGCUAAAAACAAUACUAUAUUCGUUCUUAUGAAACCACCAUGCACAAGACAGAAAAGUCGGUUCCGAGAUAACUGUGAUGUCAGGAGCAAGGUUAUCCGUCAUACCAGCAGUGGGAAAGAGUACUAACAGAAUCCUGUCAUCAGGAGUAAGUCCCACCAGGUAAAUUGAAAUUUUGCUCUUUAGGAAGUGCAAAGUACACCCACCUGUCUGUGAUUAACUCAACAGGGCUGGCUUCUAAUUUGGCAUGUACAGAAUUGCACUAUUAAUGUUUAUUUUGAGGCAAAAGCUGCUAGCAGUUAUGGAUGCAGCUGUAACUAUUAUGAAACCCGCAAAACAGGUAUGAGCCACUGACUGUAUUCACAAUCUUGGACCCUGCUGUUUUAAAAAGCAGAUCAAGCUUUUCCCUGAAGACUUAUACAUAUUAAGUAGCAAAGUACAAUGUUGAGGGGGUGGGUUCCCUUCAGCAAUAUUUAAUUGUAUUGAAAAUGUCAAUAGGAUUCAGCUGUUGCUCACCAGCAGGAUCUUACCAUGAUAACGUGCAAUGGCUUUAUUUUCAAAAGAAAUUUGAGGUCAUGUGGCAUUUUAAACUUAAAGACAUUGUUUCUGUUUAAAAAUGAUUUCCAUUUGAUUUUACAUGAACACAUUUGUAUUACGCGAAGGAAAAUUAAAAUCGUAUUAUAAUAAGAGAUUAAUGAUAUUUUGCUAGGCUGCGUAGAAUGGCGUUUGUUGGAGCCUAGUUGUAUUGCCAGUUUUAGAAGUCUGGUCUUUCUGGCUGACAGCUGGCACGGCAGUUCCAAAACAAAGGAGAAUAAAGCUUAUGGUGAACCAUCUCCACCUCUGAAUUCUCUUUCCUGGGUCCUGUCCUUUAAUAAUAAUAAUAACAAUAAUAAAAUGUUAUUUAUACCCCGCCCUCCCCAGCCAAGGCCGGGCUCAGGGCGGCUAACAAGCAAUAAUAAAAACAAGUUGAAUGAAUACAACUUAAAAACAAGAUUAGAAUACAACAUUAAAAUAUUGAAACAUUAAAAUAUUAAAAUGUAGCCUAAUCGCAGGAGGAGGAGGAAAAGGAAAAAAGAAAGAGAGGGAGGGAAUCAAAUUGGCUCCAAGCCAAAGGCCAGGCGGAACAACUCUGUCUUACAGGCCCUGCAGAAAGAAAUCCGAUCCUGCAGGGCCCUGGUCUCAUGAGGCAGAGCGUUCCACCAGGCCGGAGCCAGUGCUGAAAAGGCCCUGGCUCUGGUUAAAGCUAAUCUAACUUCCUUAGGGCCCGGGACCACUAGGGUGUUGCUAUUUAUGGACCUUGAGGCUCUCCGUGGGGCAUACCAGGAGAGGUGGUCCCGUAGGUACGAGGGUCCUAGGCCGUGAAGGGCUUUAAAGGUCAAAACCAGCACCUUAAAUCUGACCCUGUACUCUGUGCUAAGAGGUGUCUGGGCUAGAACUAGAACAUCAUGCAUCAGUACUGCUGCCCCACAUGCAGGGCCAGCCUGAAGAUGGAACCAAAGGCUAAAAUGGCACCCUCUCUCCAUUCUAUGAACAGGAGCCCGCUUGACUGGCAGCUGAAUCUUAGUACACUGCUGGUGAUGUCAUAGCAUUCUCUGCUGCAUCAAUGGCUUUGGAUGCAUUACACCUUUAAAGCACAUUCAUUCUUUCAAAGAAUUCUGGGUACUGUGGUUUGUUAAGCAUUCCUUGGAACUGUGAUUCUGUGAGGGGUAAACCACAGUGCCCAUAAUUCUUUGAGGGAAAGAAUGCACUUUUUAUGGGCUUCCCAUCGUGUUUGCAUGCAGGGUCAUCACUUGAGGGCAUCAGCAUGGAGUGAUUUUGCAUGUAUGGAUAGGUUUUGCAUGGAUAGAAUUUUGCAUGGAUAGGAUAUAACAGAAUGGCCAGAAUACUUCCCAGCUGCCAGCCUGCCAGUCAAGUGUAUAGUGGGGUCCAGGCAGCACUCUGAGCCUUCCCAACUCCCUCCAAGCACAUCCCGCAAAUCCAUGCUUUCAUAAAGCAUGUUCCCCACUAGGUGGCAUCUUGGACCGAAAAAGCCCAACAACAACUUCAGAAGGGAUUGGAAGUUCAGUUGAAGCCAUCGUAAAGUCUUAGCUGUAUUUAAAAUUAGCCACACUUCCUACUCUUGUUAAUAUUUGUGAUGAAAGUAGAGUAAGAGUUUGUCCUUAAGGUCUCCUCCUCCAUCGUCUUUCAGAGGUGUGGUUGCAAGACCUACCACCUAUGUCUCGGCCUACCUUUCUUGUUACCAUUCAGGUUGGUGCCAUUUUAGCCAUGUGUUUUUUUUAAUUGAUAUUUAGCUUGCAAGUUUCCACCUGUUUCCCCACCCCAUCUCCUUAAGAAUUAUUAAAAUGCCAGCAUCAUAGUGCCUUAGUACAAAAUUUAAAAGUGAUUAAGGGGGGGGGAAUCACGAUCACUGCCUUCCAGUUUUCUAGUCAGUGCCAUUUUGUCACCGCAUAUUAUUUUUCCCCCAUCUUAAAACAUUUUCUCCUACCUGCUUAAAGUUCAACCAUAGUGCUUUAGCACAAAUUUUUGAACGAUUUUUAAAUCGGAUUUUAAAAAUGGUUCAAGUGAAUUUUCUCUUUCCUGCCUAUGCGACUAUGUCACCGAGUCACUCCCGCAGUUAAUUUGAAUAAGCAGCAGAGAAAUUUCAUUGGGACCACAUUCCCUGCCUAGUCUUUCAAAGGCAGCAGGUAGUUUUAAAAACACAGCAAUCACAAAAGCCUCUGCCUGCUCUUUAAGAGGCAGCAGAGUCUUAUCUCCAACCUUAGUGCUGUGGGAAUACAGUGCUAAGAUGAGAAAUAAGCCUGUUAGAAUUCUGAAUUAACUGAUGAUUGGUGACAUCCACAAUCAGAAGCAAUAUGCCCUUGACCAGUUGCUAGAAUCUCAGGUAGGGAGAGUGCUGUUAUGCUUGUCCCGCUUGCGGGCUUACAAUGGGCACCUGGCUGACCAUAGAACCAUAGAAUUGGUUGGAAAUAGAGUUGGAAAUAGAGAAUAGAGUUGGAAAGGAACCACAGGGGUCAUCUAGUCCAGCCCCCGGCAAUGCAGGAAUCUUUUGGCCCAAUGCGGUGCUCAAACCCACAGCCCUGAGAUUAAGAGCCUUCCUGCUUUACUGACUGAACUAUCCCAGGAUGCUGGACUAGACGGGCCUUUGGCCUGAUCCUGCAGGCUCUUCUUAAGCUUUGAGGUGAAUGACAGGUGAGUGGCCCUGCUCACCUGUCGAAAAUGACUCAUGGAAGGUGGGCUAGAUCUGGAUGCAACCCUCAGGCCAAAUCCAGUUUCCCACCCAUUGGGCGAAUGGAACAUAGCUGGGUGAACACACGCAAAAAGCAUUCUUCUUCCCAAAGUGUGGAAAGUCAACUGAAAUGACUUAAGUAGCUUACAGUGAAAGAGCAAGAGCACACACACACACCCCGUUGCUGUGUUUGAUUUGUCCUUAAAUGCACUUAUUGAACAGAGGCGGGACAUUGACUAAUUUGCGCAGUCGCAAGCUACUGGCACUGCUACACUCCUGGGCUGUCUGCUGUAUAUGUAGCCUGAAACGUCGCAGCAGAUCAACAUAAACAAAGAUUUGGUAGGCAUCCAAAGAACAUCAAUUAAAUCUGAAUGCGUGCCAGUUACCAAGAAGUGAAGCCUUAAAGUGCUCUCCAAAAACACAAGCCAGUAUUAAUGGAAGGAACAGAGCAAAUCCAAACCACCAGAUCUGCCAGCUGGGAGGAGUUAGGGGGAGAAAGUUCCUUGCUGCAGUAGGCAGCUGUGCCCCUACAUGAACAUAGCAUUUCCCCUCUUGACAGAGUAUGUGCAUUACCGGCUGCUCCCAUUCAGCUGUGUCUUCAGGCCCUGGCAUGCUGGACAGCUCCCUGCCCUGGCUUGAUACUGGGAUCUGCCCAGGUGCUUUGGUGAAGCUGCCAACCAUGGAUGAGCAUGAAAGGGAUAUGUCUUCUUCCCACCCCCUUUGCCCCAAUGUUUUGUCUGUGGGGCAAGCAGUCUUCCUGCCAAGUGGAUAUUCAAAGCAUCUCAGUGGACCCAUUGGUCCCCUCUAGGGCUGAGGGGUUGGGAGUCGCAUUCCUGAGUGGGCAUCUGCAAUACCUGGGCUCCUGGACCUUGACACUCUUGCUGGGUUGCGACCUAUGAGUGGGAAGGAAUGGUAUGGAACCCCAGUUCCCAAGAGUGGUGGUGGUAUGAAGGGGAAACCAUGGUGCUGGGGGCAGAAGCUGCCACAACCCCUGCAGGGCCCUCCCCUUGGCAUCUUCCAUGCCCAAACUUCGUACCAGCAGGUGUGGUGUUGCCUGCUUUCUUCAUGCCUGGUGUAUCUUUGCUCAUUGGCACCUUGCCUCUUACUUUGCGUCCCCUCUCCUGGCUGCUUGGCCGCUCCUUACCAUAUCUCUGUAGGUGCUUGCAAGUGCUUUAUGGAGCAUGCAGUGAGAGAUAGGAGCAUCUUUGGGGCUGUGGUCUUCUCCUCUCCCUGUUGUGGCUGUGUAAUUGGUUCUGCCUUGGCACUGAAAUUUUAUUUUCUUCUGUUUGCAUUGACUUCUCUGAUGUUGUGCAUUAAGUGAGGGCAGGUACCUACAGCCACGAUAAAAUUUAAUGAUUUCUCUGCAGUCGGACGCGGGUGGCACUGUGGGUUAAACCACAGAGCCUAGGACUUGCUGAUCAGAAGGUCAGCAGUUCGAAUCCCUGCGACGGGGUGAGCUCCUGUUGCUCCGUCCCUGCUCCUGCCAACCUAGCAGUUCAAAUGCACGUCAAAGUGCAAGUAGAUAAAUAGGUACCGCUCUGGCAGGAAGGUAAAUGGCGUUUCCGUGUGCUGCUCUGGUUCGCCAGAAGCGGCUUAGUCAUGCUGGCCACAUGACCCGGACGCUGUACGCCAGCUCCCUCGGCCAAUAAAGCGAGAUGAGUGCCGCAACCCCAGAGUCGGUCACGACUGGACCUAAUGGUCAGGGGUCCCUUUACCUUUACUAAGUCCCAUGGAAAUCAAUGUGACCCGAGUAGAAAUGCCUGGGCUUGGGGACUGGUAAGUUGAAUAAAUACAAUCACAGACCUUUCAACAUGCUGAAAUAUCUUUCCCAUCUUUCCCAUAAACCUAAAAUAUACCCCCCGCCCGGUCGCUUGUGUUAUACAAAAGUUCAUGUUACACAACCUCAGUUGGCCCUGAUGGAGAAAUGACGACAGGGCAGCUUCCCAGAACCAGAUCACAUCAAUGUGCUUCUCGAGAAAUCUGCUGCUCUGGUUCACCAGAAGCGGCUUAGUCAUGCUGGCCACAUGACCCGGAAGCUGUACACCGGCUCCCUCAGCCAAUAAAGCGAGAUGAGCGCCACAACCCUAGAGUCGGUCACGACUGGACCUAUGGUCAGGGGUCCCUUUACCUUUACCUGCAGUCGGGGUGCUGCUGCCAUGUGUGUUUAUGGUGCUGUUUGGGUGCCUGGCAGGUGUGUGCAUUGUAGAUGGCAUGGCUAUACAUGCUGGGACCUGUAUCUGGACUGGCUGCUAUGGGCAGGGCUGCAAUGGGGAUGUGUUUCUUCUGUAUUGCUUGUUUUCUUUUUCCCAGCAAAGGCUUCUCCCACCCCUUGCCAUACAGGGUUUGGAUGUGGUGAGAUUUGCAUGGUCAUAUUGCCAACGCAUUGAUCUACUCCCUGGCAGAUUUCCCCACUUUGAAUUGCUCAGGCAGAUACUAACUUGAAAAUGGGAAACUGAGGAGAAGCUAAAGUAGAAAGUUCUUGUGUGGAACACUCCUAGAGUGCCGCUGUGAAAGGGUGCGUCUGAACGCUGACCUCCGUACAGUUUUUCAGUUUGAAGCAAGCUUGUUCAUGUUAUACUGAUGAAAAGCCCACGCUUCAGUGACUUACACUAAGAUGAGGUUGAUGUAACAGAAUUCCUGACUGAGAGUUCUCAAGAUGCACGUUGAUGUGAUCUGGUUCUGGGAAGCUGCCCUGUUGUCAUUCAGGGCCAACUGAGGUCGUGUAACAUGAACUUUUGUAUAACACAAGCAACAAGGGGGGCUAUUUCAGGUUUAAGGGGAAGAUGGGAAAGAUAGCCGCCUGAAGCCAGGAGAGCAAGACUCUCCUGGCUUCAGGGAUAGCCGCCUAAAGCCGAGCUCCUGCUGCGCUCCGGAGGCUUCGUGUUGCUUUGGCUGAAGCCAGGAGAGCGAGAGGGAUCGGUGCGCACCGAUCCCUCUUGCUUUCCUGGCUUCGCUGAGGGGGCGCUGCGCAGAGAGUGAGAUAAUUUUUUUUCUUGUUCUCCCCCUCUAAAACUAGGUGCGUCCUAUGGUCGGGUGCGUCCUAUAGAGCGAAAAAUACGGUAUUUCAGCAUGUUUAAUGUUGAAAGGUCUGUGAAUGUAUUUAUGUAACUUACCAGUCCCCAAGCCCAGGCAUUUCUACUUGGGUCACAUUGAUUUCCAUGGGACUUACUCCCAGCUAAAUGGGUCAGAUUGCAGCCCUAAUUUCCAUCUGAUGGGGGAGAGAAGGCAGCUGCUUAUCCUCCACAGUUUUCUCUGUUCUUCCCUACUCUCUUGUCCUGCCACUGCGGGUUAGAUUGAAAAGCAGAGAGACACAAACAUCCGCUCAUGCUCUUGCCACGCUUCUUGAGUUUUGUGAUGUAGUCAGUGAAACCUAGUGGGCACACAGAGAACUGCUCAGUAUUUUGCAUUCUUAACACCUCCAGAAACUCACCACCACUUCCUCCUUUCCGUGUUGGGCAUCCUGGAAGGUAAAGGAAAUGCUAAGGUACAGGUGGUGCAGAGUGCUUUGGGCACUUUUUCCUUCCUAGACUGGCUCAGGAAAAUCUUUGCAUAUGCGCUUCCGAGGGGGAAUGUUCCUAGCCAGAGAUGGAAGCAGCUUUCCCUGCCAGACCAGGUAGACUUGGAUUACAGAGUCUUCCCCAAAGGGGAUUUCUAAGAGAAGCAUUUUUGCAAGACAAGCAUUGGCUGUGCUCAAAAAACGAGCCCCAUACAAUCAGUGAUGUCUGUGGUCAAAUAAAAGCAAAAAAGGGCCAGACUCCUACCACUUUAACAAUGGUAUAGAAGGGGGAGUUUCAGCAGGUGUAGUUUGUCAAGCAAGCAACACCUGCUGAAAAAUCCCGUUUUUGUGUUUUUUAAAAAAUCUGGCCUCUCUACUAGGAGAUGGCCCAUGAGCGAGACUUCCACUGAGCUUCAACACAUCCAGAAAUGUCAUCUGUUGCUUGCAAUGCCUGCAGGAGAGAGCAAGUUCUUAACUAGGAAACUGCAGCUGUGCAGUUUCUCAAGAAGAGAACUAAGGCAAUGAGGAAGGAGGAGCUGCCUGAAAGCUGACUAUUCUGUGAUUCCACACAAGUUGAUAUAGUACUGAGUGCAGAAUUGUAGCAAGCUGUGAAUCUCAGCUUUGUCUCCCUCUACCCACCCCACAAAAAUAAUUAAGGAAAAGUAAGCAUUAUUUCCUAUCCAUUGUAGCGAUGCAAGUAGACAUCUCUGACAUGCUUUGAAGCCUAUCAAAGCAUCAGAAGCAGAAACUGUGGCUGAGUAUCUUGCACGUUGCCCUGGGGCGGAGUUCUGGGUGGUGUACUCCCUGCCCCCCCUUGCUCUCCUCCUUGAGUAGGAGUAAAAUAAUGCAUAUGUAAAUAUACAGGCAAAAUUUUAACAAUGCAGAUCUUUUCCCUUUGCAUAAUUUAUACACAUUGCUAAGUUUUGGUUUGCAUGGGAUUUUGUUUUGUCAUGGGGCACAAUUUUAAUGGGGAGUGGAACCCCUGGGGCUACUCAAAAGCUGAGUUUGCAAGGGAAGGAAUUAGAGCAGUAGCAAGAGCUCACUCCAGCUGCAGGCCUAUACACACACUUACCUGGGGGUAAGUUCCAUUGACUACAACUACCAUCAUCAGACUAUAAGCCAUGUUGAUUAGAGCUGAUGAGAGUUGGAGUUGAUCAACAGGCUGCCCAUCUCUGCCCUAAACCAUGCAUUGUGCCUUGUCAGGUGUUUGAUAACCCUCUUGAUUUAUUUUGUUUUGUAAUCUCAAGCAGAUUGCAAAAAUAGAUUUAUUGUGUCGCUGAUGGCCUGCCAUAUUAGAAGUGUGUUAGUCAGUUAGGUGGGUCACAAAUUCUGCAGGGAUCUGACCGUCUUUUUCUCUUGUGCAUAGGAUGACACUCGAAGUCUGGGAAUGAAAUAGUAACCCAGUUUGUACUCAUUCCAUUGGCUGAGCAAUGACUUUGUUACCGUAAUCCCUUGAUUAAACUUGGCUCUGCAUGGUAAUCUUACGCCACAAACUUGGCUGGCUUCAGCUUUCUACAUUUCUUCUGCAUUCGGAGCCAGCUUAAUUCCUGGUACAGGCCUGCAAUGAUCUACAGUAAUACUGGAGAGUUAUAUAAUCAUCUCAGAAAUCUAUACUGCAUUUCCUUCGUGCCAAGGAAACUUUGGAUGCUGAUUGGUUGAGUCAGAGAGAUGCUGAGGAAUGUCCAUUAACAUUCCAAGUUCCAGCUUGAUCAAGGAACAAAGCUUGACAGCAACAAAAUGUUCCCAGCCUGGCUUCUGUGAGAAGGAAUAUAUCAGUCUGAGUUGGAUUAAAACUUAAGACAUAGGCUCUGUAUAGGCUCUGUAGAUGGAGGAUCUGCAGAGGUGGGUAGCUAAGCCCACUUCAGAGCUGAAUAAGAGAUGACCAGAAGUACAAAACCUGGUGGGCUAAAAGCACAGAGGUAGAGCAGUGGAAGGAGGGGAAGAGCAAAUGGUGUAUAUAACAAACCUGAGGGAAGACCCUGAGUUUGAAACCUCCCAAUACCCAUUGUAUUACUUGAGAAUUGCUUCUCUUUUGUUUUCUUCACAUUCUGAAAAUAGGAGUGUAAUGCUGAGUUUAGUAAGCGCCUGAUUGUGCAGGCACUUGUAACAUGUAAUGGUCAGGACCCCUGACCAUUAGGUCCAGUCGUGACCGACUCUGGGGUUGCGGCGCUCAUCUCGCUUUAUUGACUGAGGGAGCUGGUGUACAUCUUCCGGGUCAUGUGGCCGGCAGGACUAAGCCGCUUCUGGCGAACCAGGGCAGCGCACGGAAACGCCGUUUACCUUCCCGCUGGAGCAGUACCUAUUUAUCUACUUGCACUUCGUGCUUUUGAACUGCUAGGUUGGCAGGAGCAGGGACCGAGCAACGGGAGCUCACCCCAUCGCGGGGAUUCAAACCGCCGACCUUCUUAUCAGCAAGCCCUAGGCUCUGUGGUUUAACCCACAGCGCCAUACACCACCAUUAAACCAGAGCGUCCUGUAACUCUCCAACUCAAAAGAAAUUAUCUUGCCACCUUUCCACUCGGCUGCUGAACUGAACACAGCUAAGUUUUGCCUAACAAUUUCAAACUGUAUUAUUUUAAUUAGAAAGUGAUUGUUCCUUGGCCUGACCUCAGUAGUUAUGGUCAACAUUUCCCCCCUCUUAUUUCAGGCUUCUAAUAUUGUUCAACUGCAACAUGUUCUCUAACCUCAGUGUGCCGUUCGUUUUACCAAAGGCAAAUGACGCCCGAUUCCUUCAUUCGAUUCUCCAGCUGGCUUCCCUUCUAGACUUUGCAUUGUCCUUUUAUCUCUCUCCAAAUUCUUUCCAAUUUGUCAAUGUCUGCCUUGAAUUGAGGCAUCACUGGAAUUAUGUUCAAUAGUACAAUGAAGCAUUUAUUACAGAUAUUGUUCUGUGUUUGGCUCGCUUCAUCACUGUGAAUGGGUGGUCAGGGCCUUUGACAAAAGAAAUUUGAUGCUUAUUUAAUGGGUCUAGAUGCCCACCCGCCCAGUGGACAAUUAACCUGAUGGGUAGAGUCUUGGAUGUGUGCACUGCUGGGCAUGUGUGUGAGAAGCAGCAAUUUUGCAAAUUUAAAUGGACAGAGAGGGAAAAGGAAAGAGGAGGAGGAAGGAGAAGAGGUAUGGGGACAUAGGAGGGAGGAAGAAGGGCUUCUAACUGACUUAGCUGAAACUGCUAGUGUUGCAUUUCUGAAGAGCUGUCUUUAGACCUUCAGCUCUGGGGAAAUGGGGAAUCCACAACAAGUUACAACAUUAAACAAUAUUUGGGAUUUGGCCUGUACAUCAUCCAAAACCACUUAGAGUUCCCUGCAUGGCUUUUUGUUUUGGGGUUUCACAAAAGCCUCGGUACAAGUUGGUCAGCAGGUUUAGUCUUCGUGGAGCCCUUCGGUUUCUCUUUGGUCUCCCGUCUGGCUGUGGAUCAGAGGCUCCAAACUCACACUCCAGUGCCAAAUCAGUCUCCGAAGCUGCACAAAGGGCCUCAAGACACAAUUCCAGGAUCAGAUCUGAUUUGCCACUGGCACACCACGGAUCCCCUUUUUUUACUCUUUCUGUCCCUGGGCCAGCCUCCUUCCUCCCCUGCCCCAAACUGCAAAUUCAAGUCCUGCCACAAGUCUUUGUUUGGGGGCACUUUUUUCAGGAGCAGCUGGCCCACAAUAUCACCUGGGUUCAGGAAACCUGACUGUGCAGGGAGGCUGGUAAGUGUGUCCAGCCAAGCACGCUCAGAAUCCCCCUUCCGACUUUCCUGCCCAGUGCAGGAAGGUCAGGGUGGAGGAGGCAGGGGUGGCACAUGACAUAUGAUCCCAUAGGCCCUCCACGGAUUUGAAUUUAAAAUGCUUAAAGAAGGCUAAAACCUCCCAUUGAAUUAGAAUCAUAGAAUAGAACCAUAGAAUUGUAGAGUUGGAAGGGAUCCCAAGGGUCAUCUAGUCCAACCCCCUAAAAUGCAGGAAUCUAAACUAAAGCAUCCAUAAAACUCCAGACUCUGCUUUGCAGGCAAGUAUUUCUCCACUUGAGAUUCUUAUUGUUCUGCCUGAGGUACAGGUCUCUGAAAUGGAUAGAGAAUGGUGGAAGUGGUGAAGAAGUUUGGGGACGCGGGUGGCGCUGUGGGUUAAACCACAGAGCCUAGGACUUGCCAGUCAGAAGGUCGGCGGUUCAAAUCCCUGCGACGGGGUGAGCUCCUGUUGCUCGGUCCCUGCUCCUGCCAACCUAGCAGUUCGAAAGCAUGUCAAAGUGCAAGUAGAUAAAUAGGUACCGCUCCAGCGGGAAGGUAAAUGGCGUUUCCGUGUGCUGCUCUGGUUCGCCAGAAGCGGCUUAGUCAUGCUGGCCACAUGACCUGGAAGCUGUCUGCGGACAAACACUGGCUCCCUCGGCCAACAAAGCGAGAUGAGCACCGCAGAGUCGGUCACGACUGGGCCUAACGGUCAGGGGUCCCUUUACCUUUACCUAUUUUUCCACUUGAGAUUCUUAUUGUUCUGCCUGAGGUACAGGCCUCUGAAAUGGAUAGAGAAUGGUGGAAGUGGUGAAGAAGUUUGUGGAUGAGGCAGGGUACAGAAAAGAAUGUGUCUCACCCACCUCUCUCUUUCCUUUGCUCCUAGUUGAAUAACACCCCACUCCACCCCGCUCUGUGUUGUCACGGACACCAUCUGGAGCUGAAACCCAUCCAGUUUGCAACAGGAUUAAAUAAAUGCUUUAAUUUUUAUCUCUUU